rnacentral:piRNA from 1 species
UGGUGUAUAGACAUAUAUGCAGG